CCACAACGACUCUCGGCAACGGAUAUCUCGGCUCUCGCAUCGAUGAAGAACGUAGCGAAAUGCGAUACUUGGUGUGAAUUGCAGAAUCCCGUGAACCAUCGAAUCUUUGAACGCAAGUUGCGCCUGAAGCCUUUAGGCCGAAGGCACGUCUGCCUGGGCGUCAC
rnacentral:rRNA from 1 species